rnacentral:ncRNA from 1 species
UAAUGACAAAGAUGCUAUGAAAAACUACCUAUAUUUGGGCACUUGGGUAUUUUUGAGCGAGUAGUGCAACCGACUUUUUUAAAG